rnacentral:rRNA from 1 species
AUUGAACGCUGGCGGCAGGCCUAACACAUGCAAGUCGAGCGAGAAAGCACUUCGGUGUGAGUAGAGCGGCGGACGGGUGAGUAACGCGUAGGAAUCUACCCAGUAGCGGGGGACAACAUGGUGAAAACCAUGCUAAUACCGCAUACGCCCUACGGGGGAAAGGGGGCUUCGGCUCCCACUAUUGGAUGAGCCUGCGUAAGAUUAGCUAGUUGGUGAGGUAAUGGCUCACCAAGGCGACGAUCUUUAGCUGGUCUGAGAGGAUGAUCAGCCACACUGGAACUGAGACACGGUCCAGACUCCUACGGGAGGCAGCAGUGGGGAAUAUUGCACAAUGGGGGAAACCCUGAUGCAGCCAUGCCGCGUGUGUGAAGAAGGCUCUAGGGUUGUAAAGCACUUUCAAUAGGGAGGAAGGGUUAGUAGUUAAUACCUGCUAGCUUUGACGUUACCUAUAGAAGAAGCACCGGCUAACUCCGUG